rnacentral:rRNA from 1 species
GACGAACGCUGGCGGCGUGCCUAAUACAUGCAAGUAGAACGCUGAAGGAGGAGCUUGCUCUUCUGGAUGAGUUGCGAACGGGUGAGUAACGCGUAGGUAACCUGCCUGGUAGCGGGGGAUAACUAUUGGAAACGAUAGCUAAUACCGCAUAAGAGUAGAUGUUGCAUGACAUUUACUUAAAAGUUGCAAUUGCAUCACUACCAGAUGGACCUGCGUUGUAUUAGCUAGUUGGUGGGGUAACGGCUUACCAAGGCGACGGUACAUAGCCGACCUGAGAGGGUGAUCGGCCACACUGGGAAUGGGACACGGCCCAGACCCCUACGGGGGGCAGCAGUAGGGAAUCGUCGGCAAUUGACGGAAGUCUGACCGAGCAACGCCGCGUGAGUGAAGAAGGUUUUCGGAUCGUAAAGCUCUGUUUUAAGAGAAGAACGAGUGUGAGAGUGGAAAGUUCACACUGUGACGGUAUCUUAACAGAAAGGGACGGCUAACUACGUG